rnacentral:rRNA from 1 species
AACGAACGCUGGCGGCAUGCCUAACACAUGCAAGUCGAACGAGACCUUCGGGUCUAGUGGCGCACGGGUGCGUAACGCGUGGGAACCUGCCCUUAGGUUCGGAAUAACUCCCCGAAAGGGGUGCUAAUACCGGAUAAUGUCUUCGGACCAAAGAUUUAUCGCCUUUGGAUGGGCCCGCGUUGGAUUAGCUAGUUGGUAGGGUAAAAGCCUACCAAGGCGACGAUCCAUAGCUGGUCUGAGAGGAUGAUCAGCCACACUGGGACUGGGACACGGCCCAGACUACUACGGGAGGCAGCAGUGGGGAAUAUUGGACAAUGGGCGAAAGCCUGAUCCAGCAAUGCCGCGUGAGUGAUGAAGGCCUUAGGGUUGUAAAGCUCUUUUACCCGGGAUGAUAAUGACAGUACCGGGAGAAUAAGCUCCGGCUAACUCCGUG